GGCGAGCUGUAAACUCGUUUACGGGGCAAUGGCCCCCCCAA
rnacentral:tRNA from 1 species